AAAGAGGUUUUGCUAAAAACCACAAUUAUGUUUAAUAGAAAGAAG
rfam:Strongylocentrotus purpuratus Contig114889_fixed, whole genome shotgun sequence.